ensembl:lncRNA
GGACACUCCGCUUAUGAGGUUACCACACAAUGCAGGGGAAGCAGACGUUGGCUUUAGACUAUUUUAUUGUGGGAAGCGGGCCAAAAAAAGCCAAUCUUGUCAUCUGCGUAUGGGUAAAAAGGAACCAGUGUGGUAUGUAGUAGAAAAAGAAAGAAAAGGAAAAUAAAGGAACAUCUGAUGUGAAACAGCGAAACAUGCAACAGCAAAAGAAAAAUCAAACAGUUAACCCCUACUGAUCUCAAAUGCAGCUCGUGCAAUUUACCUGGAGGUCACAGGGACUCCUUUCAUGGAAAUACUUC